rnacentral:rRNA from 1 species
UACGUAGGGUGCAGGCGUUAAUCGGAAUUACUGGGCGUAAAGCGUGCGCAGGCGGUUUCUUAAGUCAGAUGUGAAAGCCCCGGGCUUAACCUGGGAACUGCGUUUGAAACUGGGAGACUUGAGUGUGGCAGAGGGGGGUGGAAUUCCACGUGUAGCAGUGAAAUGCGUAGAUAUGUGGAGGAACACCGAUGGCGAAGGCAGCCCCCUGGGCUAACACUGACGCUCAGGCACGAAAGCGUGGGGAGCAAACAGG